AAGGUCAGUCUGUAGGUCCCCAAGUACCUUGGUUGUUGUGGUGUAUCAGAAUAAUAGCUAACAUUUGUUGAGGUCUUUCUAUAUGCCAGGUAAUUUAAAAGCUGUAAAUGUCCUAUCUCAUUUAAUCCUCACUACUGCCACAUGAGGUAGGUACUAUUACUAUUUCUAUUUUACAGAUGAAGAACUGGAUUUUGUUACCAAAAAAAUUUCCAGGCGCUCAGAACUCAUGCCUGCUUUCUUUUUCACUUUUUAGCAUAACUUUGCUUACUUGCAAAUUGAACUUUUGUAAGAAUUUGUAAUUCCAUGAAAAUAAAUGGCUUACUCCCAAGUCCCUCAUCAUUCUUUUAGGUUCUUUGAUGCUUGUGAGCGCUUUCGCUUAUUAACAAAAUUUUCACUACAGGCUUUUGGAUGGCUUUGCAGGAAUGUAGAUUGAUCAUGGCUUUUUAAUGUCAUAAAAGUUGUCUGCUUUCUCUUGUACCAUUCUUUUUCUUCAUUCCUUCUUUUUUAAAACAUCUUAAAUAUAUGUGAUAGCAUGACCAAUACGCUAGUAUUUUCUGACCUCUGUAUUUGUCACAUAAACUAGUGCAUUUUAUUGAGUAAUUUUGGAAUGAUUUUAAUAUCAUUAGGUUUUCUUUUGAAAAAAUGUUUUUCAACAAUGGUUUUACACGGAAAUUUUAUAUAAUGUCCUGGAUAAAUUUUACUACUUGUCCUGUGGCAGAAGAAUAUAGAAGCAUUGAGUUUAUCAUUUAAGCACCCAGUCAGCUUGAAGAGUCUCAAAUGGACCCUACUACUGAGAAAUCAAGAUGGCAGUCCACUAUGGGGAAUUGAGGAAAAUGGAUUAAUACAAGAGUGCUGUGAUAAUAUACAACCAAGACAGGGUUCUUUUAACAUGGAUUUCAUGACAUGAAUGAAGAUAUAGGUUUCUUACCCAACACAAUGGACAGUGGAUUUGACUUUCUAAAGACUUUUUGUAUCAUUAAAACAAGUACAUUUUUGACAUUUGGAGAAGAAAGAUGGCACGUUAACACAGAUGAUAGUUUGUAUGCCUGGAACUUUUUGCAGUUUGAUUUGUAUGAGUAUGACCUUGUGGAAUGUUAACUUUAAUAAAAUUUCUAACGCUUUAAAA
rnacentral:lncRNA from 1 species